rnacentral:rRNA from 1 species
UACAGAGGGUGCGAGCGUUAAUCGGAAUUACUGGGCGUAAAGCGUGCGUAGACGGCUAUCUAAGUCGGGUGUGAAAGCCCCGGGCUCAACCUGGGAAUUGCAUUCGAGACUGAAUAGCUAGGGUACGGUAGAGGGAAGCGGAAUUUCCGGUGUAGCGGUGAAAUGCGUAGAUAUCGGAAGGAACAUCAGUGGCGAAAGCGGCUUCCUGGACCAGUACCGACGUCAGGCACGAAAGCCGUGGGGAGCAAACAGGA